CACCAAUUAGCCUAGUGGUUAAGGUUAUGGAUCGCCAAUCCAGUGGCGCGAGUUCGAUUCCUGUUCUGGUCA
rnacentral:tRNA from 1 species